GGGGUCGACCGGAUUUGACAGCAAGGUCAAGUGAUAUGUAAGCAUGUCGAGCAUUGAUUCACAGCUCGUAAAUAUUGGACUCAAAAUUUAAAUGGCGAAAAUAACUACGCUCUAGCUGCAUAAUAAACUGAAUUACAGUAAGUUUUAGCCAAGUCCUAACAAGGUUAGGAAGCUGGAUGUCUCUUAAUAGCUAUUGUUGACAGCGAUUAAAAUUGAGGCACCAUAAAGUCAACAUUAAGGUAAUGAUUGUGUCAAUUUUUACUUUAACAAUUGAGACACUAAGGUUAUAGUAGAUUGUUUUCAUUCAGCUAUUACUCGAAAAUUAGUUGAAAACUAUGCAUGUAGAAAGUAUAUUGUUUGCUUGUAUGGACGAGGGUUCGAUUCCCUCCGACUCCACCA
rnacentral:tmRNA from 1 species